AAAGCCUUAUAACAGGCUGGGCGCAGUGGCUUACUCCAAUAAUCCCCACACUUUGGGAGGCCCAGGUGGGAGGAUCACUUGAGCCCAGGAGUUCCUAGACUAGCCUGGGCAACAUAGGGAGAACCUGUCUCUAAAAAACAUAAUAGUAAUAUAAUAAAGCCUUAGUACAGGCUAAUAUAUGGCAAGUAAAUGUUAGCUGAUAUUGUUGGUAUUGAUAAAAGGAAGGAUCAGGUGGAGAAGGGAGCUGAGGCCAGAAAGGAGCCCAGUUCUAGAAGAGUAUAACCUGGGUCCUUCCUGCAGGACAGUGCCUUGGUAAUGACCAGGGCUCCAGGAAGAGAUGUCCUUGUGGCUGGGGGCCCCUGUGCCUGACAUUCCUCCUGACUCUGCGGUGGAGCUGUGGAAGCCAGGCGCACAGGAUGCAAGCAGCCAGGCCCAGGGAGGCAGCAGCUGCAUCCUCAGAGAGGAAGCCAGGAUGCCCCACUCUGCCGGGGGUACUGCAGGGGUGGGGCUGGAGGCUGCAGAGCCCACAGCCCUGCUCACCAGGGCAGAGCCCCCUUCA
rnacentral:sRNA from 1 species